GAUGAACGCUGACAGAAUGCUUAACACAUGCAAGUCAACUUGAACUUCGGUUUGGGUGGCGGACGGGUGAGUAACGCGUAAAGAACUUGCCUCACAGCUAGGGACAACAUUUGGAAACGAAUGCUAAUACCUGAUAUUAUGAUUUUAGGGCAUCCUAGAAUUAUGAAAGCUAUAUGCGCUGUGGGAGAGCUUUGCGUCCCAUUAGCUAGUUGGAGAGGUAACGGCUCACCAAGGCGAUGAUGGGUAGCCGGCCUGAGAGGGUGAACGGCCACAAGGGGACUGAGACACGGCCCUAACUCCUACGGGAGGCAGCGGUGGGGAAUAUUGGACAAGGGACCAAGAGUCUGAUCCAGCAAUUCUGUGUGCGAGAUGAAGUUUUUCGGAAUGUAAAGUGCUUUCAGUUGGGAAGAAAAAAAUGACGGUACCAACAGAAGAAGUGACGGCUAAAUACGUG
rnacentral:rRNA from 1 species